rnacentral:rRNA from 1 species
CUGGCCUGCCCACUGACGAAGUUUUAAAGAGCCGCGGUAUUUUGACCGUGCAAAGGUAGCAUAAUCAUUAGUCUCUUAAUUAGGGGCUGGAAUGAAUGGCUUGACGAGAAAUCAACUGUCUCUUAUUAAAUAAUAGAAUUUAACUUUUAAGUUAAAAGGCUUAAAUUUUUCUUUAAGACGAGAAGACCCUAUAGAGCUUAACAUUUUAUUUUUAUAUAAUUUUUAGUUUAUCUUUUUAUAUUUAAAAAUAAUGUUUUGUUGGGGUGACAUGAAGAAUAAAUAAACUCUUCAUUCUAAAAUCAUUGAUUUAUGUUUAAUAUGAUCCAUAAUUUAUGAUCAUAAGAUUAAGUUACCUUAGGGAUAACAGCGUAAUUGUUUUUGAGAGCUCAUAUUGACAAAGCAGAUUGCGACCUCGAUGUUGGAUUAAGAAUAAUUUUGGGUGCAGGAGCCCAAUAAUUAGGUCUGU